CAGGAGGACAGUGCGCGUGUCUCCCGACGGCGCAGGGAUAUUAAACAAAUAUAUUUACUCCGCUUGUUGUUCGCUUACCUCUCGGUCAUGGUGAACUUGUUCUCGGACGGUCACGUGCGCAGGUCUCCGCGAGCGUAGAGAGGGGACGACGACUUCUCACCUGGUGUGUCCCCUUUGACUUUUACCGGGAGGGAAUAAAACAUACCUGCCAUUUUUUUUUAUGUGAGCCGACAUCGCUGGACUCAUACCUCACCCUUUGACGAACAACAACAACAGCAAGUUUUCUCCCUCAGGGAUGAAAUAUGCUCACUCUGUGCCCGUAGAAAAAAGAAGACAACAAGCAGCGUGAGGCACAAAGUGGUUUUAAAUCAUGAUGAUGCAGGAGUCGGCCACAGAGACAAUAAGCAACAGUUCAAUGAGUCAAAAUGGAAUGAGCACCCUAAGCAGCAGCCAAUUAGAGGCUGGCAGUAGAGAUGGGAGAUCAAGCGCUGGUGACACAAGCAGCGAAGUAAGCACAGUCGAGCUGCUGCAUCUGCAACAACAGCAGGUAAGUUGUGUUUCUCCCCCCGUCUCGUCUCUGCCGCUCUCUCUCGCUCUCUCUGCUCUGC